rnacentral:rRNA from 1 species
GACGAACGCUGGCGGCGUGCCUAAUGCAUGCAAGUCGAACGCACUCUCGUUUAGAUUUAACUAGUUUUCUACUGAUUGAUAAACGUUUGAGUGAAUGGCGGACAGCUGAGUAACACUUGUGUAACCUGCCCUAAAGUGGUGGAUAACAUUUGGAAACAGAUGCUAAUACCGCAUAGAACCUAACACCGCUAUGUGUACGGUUGGAAGAUGGUUUCCGCUAUCACUUUAGGAUGGACCGGCGGUGCAUUAGCUAGUUGGUGAGGUAAAGGCUAACUAAGACCGUGAUGCAUAGCCGACGUGAGAGGGUAAUCGGCCACAACGGGAGUGAGAAACGGCCCAGACUCCUACGGGGGGCAGCAGUAGGGAAUCUUCCACAAUGGAGGAAAGUCUGAUGGAGCAGCGCCGCGUGGGUGAAGAUGGUUUUCGGAUCGUAGAACUCUGUUGUUGGAGAAGAAGGUAUCUGGUAGCAACUGAUCAGGUAGUGACGGUAGCCAACCAGAAAGCGACGGCUAACUACGUG